rnacentral:rRNA from 1 species
AUUGAACGCUGGCGGCAGGCCUAACACAUGCAAGUCGAACGGUAGCACAGAGAGCUUGCUCUCGGGUGACGAGUGGCGGACGGGUGAGUAAUGUCUGGGAAACUGCCCGAUGGAGGGAGAUAACUACUGGAAACGGUAGCUAAUACCGCAUAACGUCGCAAGACCAAAGUGGGGGACCUUCGGGCAUCACACCAUCGGAUGUGCCCAGAUGGGAUCAGCUAGUAGGUGGGGUAAUGGCUCACCUAGGCGACGAUCCCUAGCUGUUCUGAGAGGAUGACCAGCCACACUGGAACUGAGACACGGUCCAGACUCCUACGGGAGGCAGCAGUGGGGAAUAUUGCACAAUGGGCGCAAGCCUGAUGCAGCCAUGCCGCGUGUAUGAAGAAGGCCUUCGGGUUGUAAAGUACUUUCAGCGGGGAGGAAGGCGGUGAAGUUAAUAGCUUCACCGAUUGACGUUACCCGCAGAAGAAGCACCGGCUAACUCCGUGCCAGCCGCCGCGGUAA